rnacentral:rRNA from 1 species
AAUCAACGCUGGCGGCGUGCCUAACACAUGCAAGUCGAGCGAGGAAAGGGGAGCAAUCCCCUGAGUACAGCGGCGCACGGGUGAGUAACACGUGGGUAAUCUGCCCUGGAGUGGGGAAUAACACCGGGAAACCGGUGCUAAUACCGCAUACGAUCACAGAGUCUGCGGAUUUUGUGAUGAAAGGAGCAAUUCGCUCUAGGAGGAGCCCGCGGCUGAUUAGCUAGUUGGUGAGGUAAUGGCUCACCAAGGCAACGAUCAGUAUCCGGUCUGAGAGGACGGUCGGACACACUGGAACUGAGACACGGUCCAGACUCCUACGGGAGGCAGCAGUGGGGAAUUUUUGGCAAUGGGGGCAACCCUGACCAAGCAACGCCGCGUGGGUGAUGAAGUCUCUUGGGACGUAAAACCCUUUCGACGGGGACGAAAGCCGCAAGGUUUGACGGUACCCGUAGAAGAAGCCCCGGCUAACUCCGUGCCAGCAGCCGCGGUAAUAC